rnacentral:rRNA from 1 species
CAUAUCAACUUUCUAUGCCAGUUUCUACGCCUAUCAUGGUGACCACGGGUAACGGGGAAUCAGGGUUGAAUUACG